GGGAAAAUGGCUCAGUGGUAGAGUGCUUGUCUCAUAUGCAGGAGGCCCUUGGUUCGUUUCCUCA
rnacentral:tRNA from 1 species